UGGGGAAUUUUGGACAAUGGGCGAAAGCCUGAUCCAGCAAUGCCGCGUGUGUGAAGAAGGCCUUCGGGUUGUAAAGCACUUUUGUCCGGAAAGAAAUCCUUGGCUCUAAUACAGUCGGGGGAUGACGGUACCGGAAGAAUAAGCACCGGCUAACUACGUGCCAGCAGCCGCGGUAAUACGUAGGGUGCAAGCGUUAAUCGGAAUUACUGGGCGUAAAGCGUGCGCAGGCGGUUUGCUAAGACCGAUGUGAAAUCCCCGGGCUCAACCUGGGAACUGCAUUGGUGACUGGCAGGCUAGAGUAUGGCAGAGGGGGGUAGAAUUCCACGUGUAGCAGUGAAAUGCGUAGAGAUGUGGAGGAAUACCGAUGGCGAAGGCAGCCCCCUGGGCCAAUACUGACGCUCAUGCACGAAAGCGUGGGGAGCAAAACAGGAUUAGAUACCCUGGUAGUCCACGCCCUAAACGAUGUCAACUAGUUGUUGGGGAUUCAUUUCCUUAGUAACGUAGCUAACGCGUGAAGUUGACCGCCUGGGGAGUACGGUCGCAAGAUUAAAACUC
rnacentral:rRNA from 1 species